CCUGUGGAUCCGCCACUGUGGUGACGUCAUCUCGAUCAGGGAGACGUGAAUAAUUGACAACCGCUCCUGUCACUCUCGUCACGUCUCACCAGAAGAAAGAGGAAAUACGGUCAGACACAUGAGGGCGCACAGCCAUGUGAAAAAUAGAACGGAUCGAGUGAAGGGAAAGCUGGCGAAGAGGGUGGGGGUCAUCCGUGAACGAUUUUUUUUGUGUGUGUGUGUGUGUGUGACUGCACUGCAAAUUUUUGAAGUGAAAACUUCUAUGGGAAGGUUUGGAUAGGGAGUAAAUUCAUGCAAGCAGCGCUACGGUGAACAAUAGCAGGCUUCUCGAGGGGAAGACAAUGCCGAUAAAAAUUAAAACAUAAAUUAAUCCAACA